rnacentral:rRNA from 1 species
CAGCCGCCACGGUAAUACGUAGGUGGCAAGCGUUGUCCGGAAUUAUUGGGCGUAAAGGGCUCGCAGGCGGUUUCUUAAGUCUGAUGUGAAAGCCCCCGGCUCAACCGGGGAGGGUCAUUGGAAACUGGGAAACUUGAGUGCAGAAGAGGAGAGUGGAAUUCCACGUGUAGCGGUGAAAUGCGUAGAGAUGUGGAGGAACACCAGUGGCGAAGGCGACUCUCUGGUCUGUAACUGACGCUGAGGAGCGAAAGCGUGGGGAGCGAACAGGAUUAGAGACCCCUGUAGUCCCUGUCUCUUAUAU